UAACCUUGGAAAUCAAGGAUGGGUGAAGCCUGUUGGAAUAACUCUAGGCGACCCAUACUUGGUUUCAAGGGUCA
rfam:Alligator mississippiensis ScZkoYb_159, whole genome shotgun sequence.